GAGAGAGACGCGAAGCAAACAAACGAAUGGGGAUGGAGGCGAAGCGAAUGAUCCUGUUGGCGAUCGUCUCGUUAUUCAUCCUCCUUCCUUCGGUGAAUGGCCGAGCUAGGCACACUCUCGUGGUAAAAACCAUUUUUGUUUUUUGUUUGAUUGACAAAGAAUUGUGUUUCAGCAUGACGAAGACAAUCAUCCAAGCUUCUUCGCCAGGAUUUCACAUCUCUUGGGCGAUGGCCGAGAGCCCCCGAGCUCCAACCGUUUCUUCAGGCCGAAAUACGGCCCAAAUGUUCCUAUCCGCGGCUCAAACCCGUAAGAAAUUCCCAGCUCUUACAAAUGAAGAAAGACAAUGUCGUCAAUGCUUGUAGUAGAUCUUCCUUCCUAGGCUGCUGGUUUACUAGCACUGUGUUCUUCGUUUUGCUCGCCACCAUUCUUGGCAUCAGCGUCUAGCGAUGGUGCUGUUGCCAAUCCAGCAGGAUAAGAAUCAGGCGGGACGGGAUCGAGCGUCGAGGUCACGAGCAGCAGCUUCUCAAACGCGAGCUCAAACUUGUCGAUGGUCGAGUAGAUCUGGUCGGGCUCCAGCAGCAGCUCGCAGAUUCUCUGGAGCGUGAAGGGCGCCGCGUCCUCGAACGAGGCGAGCUGGGCCGCGAGCUUCUUGAGGACACUGUAGACGGCCUUCUCGCCGUCGGCGCCAUUUGCCUCAUUGCUGGUGGGGGGAGCGCUGCUCGCGGUGUCGAGGUAGAGCCUCUUGACGACUUGGUUCAAUCGAAACUGGAGGAGCUGCCUUAGGUGAUGCCAAUCGUGCCAGUACUUACCGCUCUUGGCGCUCAUCGACACGAUCCGCCGGAGCUCCGGAGUGAAGUCCAUGGAGGAUCCAUCGGCGCCGCUGCACAACGCGGCCAGUGAGGCAUUGUCGUCCUCCCACAU
rnacentral:lncRNA from 1 species